CAGGGGGGCCCGGCGCCCCGGGCCCGCAGCACCAGCUGACGCUGCAGGCGGGCCGCCAGCCCGGCCACCGACUCCCGGAAAAAGCGCCAUCCAGUCUGAUGAAGUAGAAAGGAAUGUGAGGCAUGGAGCAAGCAGGAGGAGAGAUAGGAGAUGAGAUGCAGGAUUCGACUAGCCUGAGAAGUGAUCAAAGAAGACUAUGCAUUGAAGCUCUCACCAUGGACUUCCUGUGUGAUUUCACAAAGCACCCUGAAUUCCAGAACAACUCUUCCCCUCCCCUUUCCUGUUGUCUUUGCUUACCACUUUUGGACUACCUGAUGUCCCAGGCAUUUUGGAGCUACGCUUGCUCCUCCCAUUCUCUUGUCCCGCUAUUCCAUCAAAUUGUAUUUAAACCAUACCUUUGACCUAGCUAACCGCCUUUGCCUCUUAUGGGAAGCAAGGGCCAUUCUACUCCCUUAGGGGAGCAGGGCCUGAGGCCUACUCGCUGCCGCCCAGGUGGAAUAGAGCCCCUUGGGGCUGUGCCUCACCCCAAUAAAUGCCUUUCUUUAACUUGGA